UUAAGUGUAAGAGCAUUAUCAGUAUUGUACAGUAGUUGGGACAGUAGUUAGCUUUCAGAUGUCAGAUGAAAAACAUCUUUUUGAGUCACAGUGCCAAACUACUGCAGAAUAUUUUGAUCCUUAUUUUUCAGCCUGAAGGACUGGCAUUUAUUUAAUGGACAGAUGGCACAGCCAUUUACUUAGUCAGAGGAUUUAGAAAUUUCUUUAAGAAAGGUUCAUUGUUUUUGUUCUUUUAUCAUAGCUUCAGUUUGUGUACUUACUUUGGUUUGUGACUUAAACUGUUUUAUUAGGUACUGACAGAUUUUGUUAACAGGGAACGAUGAUAGGUGAAGAUCAAGUUACCAAAUAAAACUGUCCAUAUGUAUAUUUGUCUGCUAUGUAUCUGUUUAAGCACUACUUUAAUAGAGAUAUAAAGAGAGAGAGACCCAUUAACUAAUUCAUAGAACCCCUUUCUACCUUUUCAAGUUUGAUACACAUGUUUCUUUUCAAGCAUUGUGUGCAGACGUUGCAAGUCAUUAGUCUGAAGGUUACGGGUUCCUUAGAUUUUUGCUUCUUCAGCAUCAGAAAAAAGGCUAAACAAAGACUAAACUCAGAAACAAUAUAACUGUCUGGUUGUGAUCAGAAUAAAAGGCAACGUGAAAGGUGACUUAAUUCCCAGUGAGAUUUCUCUAUGUUCUAUAUGACCUUUCUACAGUAUGUGCCAUUAAGACCUAGUUUCCAGCCAUCAUUACAGCACGGGAGAGGAAAUGUUGUUCAUCAGAUGUGUGAUGUACAUCUAAACAAUCUGAUAACAAACUACACACAACAUUUAUGUUUUGAAAAAUAGCAUUGGACCAAAUCCAUAGUUUACAUCAUCUGUAUAUUUAAUCUAUAUCACAAGUACUGAACAAGUUAGAGGAAGAGAAUAUGUAGAUUUACUUUUCAUUGGAACUUUAUUGUUUAUUUUGAUCUGUCUUGAUUCAUUUUCAUAUUCAGUUUUUUUUUAAAUUCAUUUUAUUAUUAUUUUUAUGAACUACCUUCAACCUAGGAUCAUCUGGCAUCUAACAUAACGUGUGAAUGUAGGAACAUGGAUUUUCACUAUGCACUCCACUGGCACCCUAGCUGAAAAGAAAGUUAAACAUGUUAAAUCUUCAAAGGUCAGGCAGUGGCGGAGUAAGGAAAAUAAAAGCACAUCACCUAUUUAGAUUAUAUCUAUGAUUAAGUUCACAUUCAAUUAGGAAAUGAAGCUCAUGUUAAGGCUAAUUCUUCCACACAUGUCUUCAGAAGAAAUUGAUGAUCAGUUCCCUAGGCAUUGUGUCUCAAUUUAAAAUAAACACUCACAUGCAGAUACAGAAGGUAUGAUAUUGUGCACAGAGGCAAGAUAGACAGGGAUAUUUGAAAUGAAAUUUAUCAUAUAUAUUAACUAUCAUAUCUAUUUAACAUAUCUAUUUAAAUACUUAUUAAGGUUACUGUGCUAGCGAGUGUAUCAUAUGUUCUCUGACGUUUUUUACUUGCUCUAACAAUACCAGAUGGGAAUGAUCAUUUUUCUAUGACAAACCUUGUUCUCACUAGAAUAUAGUUCUGUUUGAAAAGCAGUUUUGUCCUCACAGUUUCAUCACAAGAUUCAGACGUGGAUAAAUUUCAACAUGGAAGGAAAAGUGAGGCGCUAACAUAUUUUGACCCAGGUACAGCUUAUUUGAAGCAAAGAAAAACCCCAACAAGGGAACUACUGAAACAACACCAUGAACACUCCUAGAUUUCACCUGUUUUUAAUAAGGAUAAUGAAUUGUUGCAAUUCCUGGUUGAGCUUUGAAAGAUCAAGAGCAGCGUUAUUAACAUGGCCUUGAGAACACAAGGUAAGCUUGUGCUACUGCUUAGAAAUGUGCUGUAGAUAGCCAUGUAUCAACUAUGCUUGAGAAAUAAGCUGACAUCAGAAGUCCACAUGACUUGUCUCCAUGUUUCAAAGCUGUGCUGUUUGUACGUGAUAAGUUAUUAAAGGGAUCAUGACAUGAUUUUUUUAAAUCUUCCCUGAGGUGUAAUUAUAAUAUUAGUAAAGUUUUUUUGGACAAAAAACAUACAAAAUGUAGUAAUUUAUAACUUGUUUCUAUGCUUUCUCUGACCCUCUGACUGAAACGACCGUUUUUUGUCCUUUAAUGUCCUUCAAUGUAACCACCCACGGCCACGGAUCACAUGCACUCUACUGUCUUCACUCCUAUUGGUAGUCGCUACACCAAGUCUUGCUGUAGGGUCAGUCAUAUACAAAUGUAUUUGCCCGUGUGAUGUCACAAAUCCUGCCACAUCCAAAUGAGCCGUUUUUGGAUAAAUGCUCUUUAUGUACUGAAAAGGAUGUAUUAAGCUAUGAAACCUGCAGGACGUUUUAAUGGUACAAUGACCUCCUAUAUGUUAAAAGAUUAAGGACAAUUUUAUUUUAGAUUUAGAUUUCUUAUGUCAUGACCCCUUUUAGGUUUGACUUAAAUAUGAACAAAUAAAUUUAAAUGUCUACGUUCAUGCCAUUGAUAAAAUGACUUUUCAGUUAAAAGCAAAUUCGGGCUUGCAACAACUGCAGCUCUUCAAGGCUUCGAUGAUACAGACACCAAGGCAGAGGAGGACAUCUUCCACGAAUUGAUUGAAGGCAGUCCACAUUUAAGCUUAACUGUAAGAUGUCCAGAGAAAAAUCUUUUUGCUGGAUUGCCUGAAGGUAAAUCAGGACUUUUCUCUGCUGUUCAAUGCUGAAACAUCCAACAAGUUGCUUGAGAGGUGGGAGACCGCAUUCAAGCACAAGAUCAUAAACGAAGCCAAGUCUCUUACUUCAACAGCAGAAAUUCAGUGUCUUCUCAGUGCAGCUGGGGGACAAGGAUCUGAAAACGUCAUCCACCAGUAUUGAAGGCCAUCUCAGUGCCGGGGAGGGCAGCCAGCCGUAUCUACUGGCAUUAGGAAGGAUCAAGGGCAGGAUUGACAAAUUCUACAUGGUUGUGGAUAAGCACCUCAUCCUUUGCACAGGAACCAGCUCCUUGAGUGCUACAGAUGAACUCUUCAAAGUCCACUAUGUGUUCAACCUGUCGUAUGAGUAAGCCCUUGUCAACAUCUUUAUCUUCCUGCAGACUACAAUCUACAACAUUGAUGUUGGUCUUACCAGUGAGUCUCCCAGAGUAAAGGAAUUGCGUGCAAAGCUUUUGAGCUAGGUUAAAUGUUAGUGUUUCUGUUGUCAAAGUCUGCAUGCAAAGCCACGAGGGUCACACACAGUUUCUAUCCUUCAUUAGAGGUUAAGUUGUUAUGUGCGCAGGGUGGCUGUAGGCGACAGUUUUGUGGACAAACUUUGUACAGAACAUUUCUCAGAGCAUCAGCAUGCAUUUAAAGUACACAGAUGUGACUUGGGUGAACUUGUAAAAGCCCAGAGUUUGAAGUUCUACAGGCGUUUUGAUCUACAGAGUCCAUAUGGGUCAGAUGAUGGUGAAUAUAUUGUACCGCAGUUCAUGCUGGUUUGUUACAUCUAAGAUACCGUGUUGAAAAUAAAAAUUCAACUUGAUACAGCAACUGAUGUGUUAGCUGUUCCUUUAUUGACGACUACACACAUUUUAAAGAUAUGCAUUUUUAGGCAUACAGAGUGUAGAUUACAUUGAAUUACCUCAAUCUGUGUAUGAACAUUAUUUAGUGUUGAAAAUAACUCCCUUAGUGUUGAGCUGUUGACACAUUUAGUGUAGAUUCAACACUUGCUUAGUGUAAAUGGAGCCUAAGAGGAGUAAAAAACUACACCAAUGGUGUUAACAGUAAACACUUACAGUGCUUUUUCAACACUAUGAGAGUGUAGAAAAAAAUAACACUAUUUAAAGUGUAAAUGUAACUCUAUUUAUUGUGGACCUAUAUAAACUCUGGAUAAGUGUUAAUUUUAACACUGUGAGUGUGACUAUAACACUUUAAAAUUUGCUGUGUAUCAUGGACAGUGCACUGUAUGUUACAUGACCUGUCAUGUUGCUGAGUUGCUGUUAUAGAAAAUAAAACAAUU